rnacentral:lncRNA from 1 species
GAUACGGCAGCAGCAGGCAGUCCUGAGCGGCCGCUGCCAUCGCGCCGGCUGCAGCGGAAAGCAACAAAGCACCAUCUUGGAAGCAGAGAGCCACCCUCACCAGAACUGAAUGCAGGCACCGUGACCUUGAACUUCCCAGCCUCCAGAACUUGCUGCCAGGACCUGCAGAACUCCAGAUGGAUUCCCCUGGCUGACACUUGAAAGAUUUUUGCUCUAACUUAAUAGAAAUGACAGACUGGCAAAGCCAUAGUUAAAUCAGCUGGAGGAGCCACAAAUCAAAUCAUCUUUACAGAAAGAUGUGAGUGCACAUGGAAAUUUAUGGAGUCUCUCAGCAUUGUAGAAGAGCCUCUGUUUCUUCUCACUGGUUCCUGUCCUCCUCAGCUUGGUAUAUAACUCCUGAGGGCUGAAUACCUGGUUGCUGAAGGAUCCAGUCCCUGCCCUAUAACCGAGGAAGAAUUUCUACUUCCCCUUCCUGUCCAGAAGUGAUAUUCCCAGAUGAAGUGAGAAAUUAUAUGCUCUCUGGGAAAUGGCUAUCUGCAAAGACUUGUGGCAUUCUACUUUCUGGAUAUAUUGCCUUAUGUCUGGCAAACUGUACUGAUUAAAACUUUGAACAGAAGAAGGAAAAACUAAUUUGGAAGGGCUAAUCAAGACUCUCCAUAGUCCAAAAGGGAUGAUUUCUCAGUUGUGCAGAGAACCAAUAAACCUCCAUCCUGAGGACAAAAGUAAUUUUGUGAAACUGCAUGAAGUUUCUCUAGAGAGAGAGACUUCACAAAGCCCAGUGGUCACAGCUGUGCAGUGGAACCGAACUACUUUGAAUCUCUGCCAUCAAAGGAAAGAAUCUCAGGAUUUUCUGCUACAGAAGCAUGAUCGUGUUUAAAUUCUUAAAAUGCUGCAUUAGCAAGAAUUCUCCACAGAAACAGACUCUCUCUCUAGAGUUGAGAGAGAGAGAGAGUUAAUAUAGGAAUUGGCUCAUGGGACAAUGGAGGCCAAGAAGUUCCAGAAUCUGAUGUCUGCAAGCCAGCAAACAAAGCCAAUAAUGUAAUUUAGUCUGAGUUCAAAGGCCCAAGAAUGGAGGUACUGAUGGUAUAAUUCCUGAUCUGAGUCUAAAGGCCCAAGAACCAGGAACACUCAUGUUAACAGAAAAUGAAUAGGCCAGGUGCAGUGGCUCACACCUGUAAUCCCAGCACUUUGGGUGGCUGAGGCCGGCAGAUCCAUCGAGGUCAGGAGUUUGAGACCAGCCUGACCAACAUGGUGAAACCCUGUCUCUACUAAAAAUACAAAAAUUAGC